UUACUCAUUCCGGAUAUAAAACAGUUAUUGUUGACGUCUCCGUUAUGAAUCUUUGAUAAUAGUAUUUUGACAUAUCCAAUUGUUAGAAAUUAUUAUUGUAGUGGAAAUAUAUGAUUAAGCGAAUUCAAGGAUAUUAUUUGAAGAAAGGUUGUUAAUAGUAACACGUGGUGUCAAUCCGUCACAUCUAGUUUCAAAUACAUCACACUCUUUUUCAUUCAUCCUGUGUAAAAAUGGCGAAUAUAGAGAUUGAACGAGCGAAGUUGGAUUCUUCUAUACGCAAUUUAAAGCUCUCUGGUCAUGUAGGUUUUGACAGUCUUCCUGAUCAAUUAGUAAAUAAAUCUGUUCAAAAUGGAUUUGAAUUCAAUAUCCUUUGUAUUGGUGAAACUGGCUUAGGUAAAUCGACGCUUAUGGAUUCGUUGUUUAAUACAAGCUUCGAAUCUACUCCAAGUCCACAUAAUUUAGCAUCUGUAAAAUUGAAAGCGCAUACAUACGAAUUACAAGAAAGUAAUGUUAAACUGAAACUUACCAUUGUCGAUACAGUUGGAUAUGGGGAUCAAAUUAAUAAGGAAGAUAGCUUUAAGACAGUUGUUGAUUACAUAGAUGCUCAAUUUGAAGCAUAUUUACAGGAAGAACUGAAAAUCAAACGCUCUUUGUCAACUUAUCAUGACAGUCGUAUUCAUGUUUGCCUUUACUUCAUUUGUCCUACAGGUCAUGGACUUAAGUCGAUUGAUCUUGUAUGUAUGAAAAAGCUGGAUACGAAAGUUAAUAUUAUACCGAUCAUCGCUAAAGCUGAUACAAUAUCAAAGACUGAGUUGCAAAAAUUCAAGAGUAAAAUAAUCUCAGAAUUACAAAAUAAUGGAGUUCAUAUAUAUCAAUUUCCAACAGAUGAUGAAAGUGUGGCUGAGGUGAAUUCUAGUAUGAAUGCUCAUGUACCAUUUGCAGUAGUCGGUAGCACUGAUUUUGUACGAGUUGGAAACAAGAUGAUGCGAUCACGUCAAUAUCCUUGGGGUACAGUUCAAGUGGAGAACGAAUCUCAUUGCGAUUUUGUAAAGUUACGUGAGAUGCUUAUUAGAACAAAUAUGGAAGAUAUGCGAGAAAAAACACAUUGUCGUCAUUAUGAAUUGUAUCGUAAGAGAAGAUUAGAACAGAUGGGAUUCAGUGAUGUUGAUAGUGACAACAAACCUGUAAGUUUCCAACAAACUUGUGAAGCAAAGAGAUCUAUUCAUUUACAAGAAUUACAGCAAAAAGAAGAUGAAAUGAGACAAAUGUUUGUUGCUAGAGUUAAAGAAAAAGAGGCUGAACUUAAAGAAGCUGAAAAAGAGCUCCAUAAUAAAUUUGAUAAAUUAAAAAAAGAUCAUACGGAAGAAAAAAAGAAAUUGGAAGAAAGUCGGAAAAAACUUGAAGAUGAUAUUUUGGAAUUUAAUAGACGCAAAGCACAAUUUGCUCAACAACCACAACAUCAUACGCUUACAUUAGGGAAAAAUAGAUUAAACUAUAAAAUACUAUUCAGUGAUUGAUUUAUAAACAUGGAUAACCUCUCUAUUUGGAACGUUUCAGUAAUAAUUUGAUGAAAAGUAUGCCAGUAAAAAAGGAAGACAACAACAAAARAUCAGUCGCUGCUAAAAGCAAAAUGAAGUAUGAAAGUGGAAUAAAAUCUGUUGACGAAGAGACCAUUAUGUCUUUGCUUGCWGAAAAUCUAUCUAUAUGAAAAUCUAUGAGGGCUCAAAUAGAGAGAAUAAGUGCAAUUUUAAAAGAAUAUAAAUCGUAUUUAGCAGCUUCAGAAUAUUUAAGCAAAUGCAAUGUUUCAUAAUCAUGAACUUAAUUAAACAUGGUAAAAAUGGUAUAUAUUUA